ensembl:lncRNA
GAUGACCAGUGGCCAGUCCAGCUGGUAGGUCCAGAGAGGUGAUGACCAGUGGCCAGUCCAGCUGGUAGGUCCAGAGAGGUGAUGAAGUCUUGAGGCUGUGACAUGCUGCUAGAUUCAGUUAGUGAACACACUAUAGUAUCAUUCAUCCAGUCCAGGCUGACGUUAACACAACAACAUUACUGCCAAUGGAUCACAUGACCAAACAAACAUACACACACACAUACAGUACACACACAUACAGCACACCCACACACAGUACACACACACACACAGUACACACACAUACAGCACACACACAUACAGCACACACACACACAGUACACACAGUACACACAGCACACACACACACACAUACAGCACACACACAUACAGCACACACACACACAGCACACACACAUACAGCACACACACAGUACACACACACACAUACAGCACACACAGUACACACACACACACACACACACAUACAGGACACACAGUACACACAGUACAUACAGCACACACACAUACAGCACACACACAGUACACACACACACAUACAGGACACACAGUACACACACAGUACAUACAGCACACACACACAGACAGUACACACACAUACAGCACACACACAUACAGUACACACACAUACAGCACACACAGUACACACACACACACAUACAGCACACACACAUACAGCACACACACAUACAGCACGGGUUAAAAGGCAGAAAGCGCUGGUUCAAAAUCCAAACGAGUCCAUGUCAGUUUAAUUAGACCUCUGCCAUUUGCCAGGGUCAGAGAGUAAGAGAGGCUAACAGUCAACCAGCUAGACUCAGUCAGAGUGUUAUCCAAGCAGGAAGUCUACUAGAACUCUACAGGAGGAGGGGUACGGCUGGUGGGCUGGCUGGAGGUGGGACUCUACAGGAGGAGGGGUACGGCUGGUGGGCUGGCUGGAGGUGGAACUCUACAGGAGGAGGAGGGGUAUGGGUGUUUAUUUAAAUAUCUCUCUGUCUCGGGAAGUCAUUCAGAGUAUUUAUUUAAACAUGUAUUUCAGACCAGAUAGAUAAUGUGCUGCUCUCAGUUUCAAUGGGAGGAGUCAACAGAGAUUUCACUCACUCACACACCUGCACAUACUCACCACAUCCAACAAACUGGGCAAGGCCUUCGUUCUACAAUCUCCUUUGAACACAGCACUGGACAGGAAGAGGAGUGUCAGGGUGUUGUUGUCAGUUAGUAUGACCGUGUUCCUGUCUGCUACUGUUGACAACCGUUGGAGAUGUUGCUAGGGUAGACAGAUAUAAUCUAACAGACAGUGUGAGGGUGUAGACAGUUGGAGAGAUAGAUAGAGAGGCCAUGUUGCUAGGGUAGACAGAUAUAAUCUAACAGACAGUGUGAGGGUGUAGACGGAGAGAUGGAUAGAGAGGCCAUGUUGCUAGGGUAGACAGAUAUAAUCUAACAGACAGUGUGAGGGUGUAGACAGUUGGAGAGAUAGAUAGAGAGGCCAUGUUGCUAGGGUAGACAGAUAUAAUCUAACAGACAGUGUGAGGGUGUAGACAGUUGGAGAGCCAGUUCAGUGAUGUCACUGAUUUACAGUGUAGUUACCAGUUCAGUGAUGUCACUGAUUUACAGUGUAGUUACCAGUUCAGUGAUGUCACUGAUACUGUAGAUACCAGUUCAGUGAUGUCACAGUGAUGUCACUGAUUUACAGUGUAGAUACCAGUUCAGUGAUGUCACAGUGAUGUCACUGAUUUACAGUGUAAUUACCAGUUGACUG